AUUUCUUCUGCAGCUUGACAGGGAGCCCUUGUGGCACAGCUGAAUUGCUGGGGUGCUGCUGAACACAAGCUCUGUGUGGAAUGGCUCUCCAUUAUUGCUUUGCAGAGUAUUUCAGCACAUCUUAGAAUGAAAGGCACCAUAGCUGAAAGUCUGAGCAGCACCUGUAGGCUCCAGAUUAUUCAGUACAGUGAAAACUGAGACCCUUAGAAUAGUUUAUCCUGUGUUAAAAAAAAAAAAAAAAAUUAAAAAAAUUUCUUUUCCAUCCACACCACUGAUGACCAAAAAAGUGUUUUGCUCAUCUUGAAAUCACACUCCUCAGAAGCUCUGUUACCACCCCCGCCCAAGUGUCCCUCGCAUCCACUUUCCCCCCCAGCCGUAGGAAAUCGCUUAGAAAAUAUUUCCAGGUUCCUUCCUGGCCAGAGGUCACCUCCGUGUUUCGGAGCAGCAGGAAUCACCAUGUUCUCUGACACAACAAACAGAGGAGGAAGACCUGUCCUGCCCUUCCAGCUUUCAAGCUUGUGCUUUUUAGCUGCAACUCCACCCUGCGCUGGUGGAGAAGGGAUCAGUUCCCAGUGAUCGCAGGAAAGGGAGGUCACGGGGUUUGCUUGAUUAAAUCACCACAAGCCAAAAGGUUCUUUCUCCUGCUCACUGAGAAUUGCUCACGGUCUGUUUAAUUUGUUCCAAAAAGAAGAGCAAGACAAAAAAACAAACCCCAAACCCAAGAAGCAACAGCACACCGGGAAAAGCAGGUGUGUCUCGAGAUCCUGGGAAACAAAGGGCAGAGGCUGAGGCAGGAGGUGACACUUGGAUGGGAAGUUUCCAUCCCAGCGCAAGAGGACAAGUUUGGAAAAGACUCGGACAGGACCAGCACUUGUUGCCCCACAGGUGUGACAAGCCAGGCCCUCAGAAAGGAAACGCCCUCUGUCCAGAGUGGGAUUGUACAAACUCCAAAAGGCUGACACCUACACUACUUCCAGGAGCUUCCUACACAGCCAGCUGCACUUGCAGCAAUAACAGGAAAAAAUUCAAGAGGUUAAUAAAAUGAAAUGAGCAGGAAGCAUGCAGUCAUCAGACUUUCUAGUACUUUAGUCUAUAGAGGUAAGUCAUGUCUGGCCUGACUCAGGGACCCAAUCCAAAACUCAUUGCAGCCCAUGGAAAUUCCACUGCAAGGGAUAUUGUUAGACCUCACUCUUCACUACGUUGAUAUGGGAGUACCUGGCAAGUUCCUCCUUCCCCAGUACUCCCACAGUGCUGAGUUUCAAAUAUCAUGUUGAGUUACUUCUCACUGCAAAUUAGGCCUGUACCCCACUGCAGAUGCUCCAAAAAGCACAAGGAGAAGAGAAGGUUCAUGGGCACAUCCCUUCUUCCAUCCCAGUCGUCAGAGGUGAUCUGAUGUGUUCUGUUCCACAGUCUUUCCAAAAAUGUGGUACUCAGCUGCAUACAAAGGGCUGAAAUAGGAGGGUGGAAUUAAUUGACUAGCACUCUUAUUUCUUUCUUCUUUGUUCCUUCUCUAUGAAACUCCAACAUGAAGGUCAAGGAGGAGUGGAAGUGAGAAAGAACUGCCAGGAAG
ensembl:lncRNA